rnacentral:rRNA from 1 species
GACAGAGGGUGCAAACGUUGUUCGGAAUUACUGGGCGUAAAGCGCGCGUAGGUGGUUUGUUAAGUUGGAUGUGAAAUCCCCGGGCUCAACCUGGGAACUGCAUCCAAAACUGGCAAGCUAGAGUAUGGUAGAGGGUGGUGGAAUUUCCUGUGUAGCGGUGAAAUGCGUAGAUAUAGGAAGGAACACCAGUGGCGAAGGCGACCACCUGGACUGAUACUGACACUGAGGUGCGAAAGCGUGGGGAGCAAACAGG